GACGAACGCUGGCGGCGUGCUUAACACAUGCAAGUCGAACGGAAAGGCCUGCUUUCCCUUGUGGAUUGCGGGUACUCGAGUGGCGAACGGGUGAGUAACACGUGAGUGAUCUGCCCCCAACUUGGGUAUAAGCCUGGGAAACUGGGUCUAAUUCCCGAUAGGACUGCAGGGUGGUGCCUGUGGCGGAACACGAUUUUCUAGUGGUUGGGGAUGAGCUCGCGGCCUAUCAGCUUGUUGGUGGGGUAAUGGCCUACCAAGGCGGCGACGGGUAGCCGGCCUGAGAGGGUGGACGGCCACAUUGGGACUGAGAUACGGCCCAGACUCCUACGGGAGGCAGCAGUGGGGAAUAUUACACAAUGGGCGGAAGCCUGAUGCAGCGACGCCGCGUGGGGGAUGACGGCCUUCGGGUGGUAAACUCCUUUCGACCGCGAGGAAGCCACCUGGUUGGAAGGGUGGUGACGGUAGUGGUAGAAGAAGCACCGGCUAACUACGUG
rnacentral:rRNA from 1 species